rnacentral:lncRNA from 1 species
CAUAUAUAUUUAUUUAUUUAUUUAUUUAUUUUAGUCUUACAUGUCAAAAGAAUUAACAGGAUUGUAGCAGGUGUUUAGUAAGUAGAGGUUAAACCAUUCUAUUUCAGGAACUAGCAUUUAGGAAGCAUAGCACUUACUGUGCAACAAGAGCCCUCUGGCCAUCCCUGUUUUACAGGUCUUAGAGAAUGGAGGGCAGCUAGGAAGGAGCCAAAUGGGACUCCUCUCAGAUCUGCUGGAAGGCAGAGCCCUGCUCCCCGGCACAGACCACACUGCCUUCCUCCCUGGAGUGUGCAGUUGGAAGCACCAGAUGCUCUAGCAGCAUCCAGAGAGAUGCCAUCUGUGAGGGAAACCUAUUCUUAGAGAGCAGAGACAGUCGGUAGCGGAGUUGGCCAACCCCCAGCAGCAGUGGCGGGACUUCAGGAGGGCAGGCGGCCAAGGUUUCACCUUCAGCUGGGGGCAGGACAGGCUAAAAGCAGGGUGUGCUCAGUCCUCAGGGGCACACUUCCUCUACAUUUGGAUGCUCUUAGAAAUAACAGCAUUUAUUGGGGACUCACUUUAACUGUGUCAUAUUCUUUAACCCUCCACACCACUCGAUGAGGUGUGUGCUACGACAACGCCUACUUUAUCAAUGAGGAAAUAGAGGCACAGAAUGGCUCAGUCACUUGCCCAAGGAAACUGUGGGGCCAGGGCUUGAGCCCAGGCACUCUGGCUCCAAAGCCUAUGUCCCUGACCACCAUGCUAUAUUGCCUCUCAACCUGCUGUACAGAGGCCAGUUUUAGUUUGGGUUCCCCCAAUAGCAGACUCUAAGACAAGGGUUUGAGUGCAAGUGGUUCAUAUGGGAAGUGGUCCCAGGAAGCACUGGUAGGGGCAUGAGGAAGGGAGAUGGGGAGGAUAAUUUUUCCACGGACCACUGGGGAGGGGACGUGGUUUCAGGAUGAUUCAAGCACAUUGCAUUUACUGUGGAUUUUAUUUCUAUUAUUAUUACCUUGUAAUAUAUAAUGAAAUAAUUGUACAACACACCAUAAUGUAGAAUCAGUGGGAGCCCUGAGUUUGUUUUCCAGCAACUAGACAGUCCCAUCAAGGCGUGACGGGAGACAGUGACAGAUCAUCAGGCAUUAGAUUCUCAUAAGGAGCAUGCAACCUAGAUCCCUUGCAUGCGCAGUUCACAAUAGGGUUUGCAUUCCUACGAGCAUCUAAUGCCACCACUGAUCUGACAGAAGGCAGAGCUCAGGUGGUAAUGUGAGCAGUGGGGAGUGGCUGUACAUACAGAUGAAGCUUCGCUAGCUCACCCACCUUUCAACUCCUGCUGCGUGGCCUGGUUCCGAACAGGCCAUGGACCGGUACCGGGGUUGCGGACCCCUUACUCUAGAGCUCAUUCAACCUCCACAGCAAGUUAAAGGAACUUCAUAAUUACCUACUCCAAGUUUGCAGUAAAUGUUGUGGCUGAAAACACAGCUUACAGAAUCAGACUGAUCCCACCUCAAUUACCUAAGGGCUCUGUGACUCAUUUGUCAGAUGGGAUAAUAAUGGACGGCUCCAUAUCAUUCCCCACCCCCUUGUUACUCAGAGCAGCACCACUGGCAGCACCAGGGAGCCUGGGAGAAAUGCAGACUCUCAGGCCCCACCCCAGCUCACUGAAUCAGAAGCUGCAUUUUAAUAAGGUCUCCAGUGACUCCUGCAUACAUUUCUACUAGUAACUUCUAAAAUAUAGAAAGAGUGAUGGAGUAAGUAUAUUAAUGAAAGUGUAUCUACCAGACCAAUGGUCUCAAAUUGGUAGCCCAUGGACCAGAUUUUCCUGGAGACUUGUUUGAUUUGUCCAGGAUUGUGUUUUUUUUUUUUUUUUUUUUUUUGAGACAGAGUCUUACUCUGUCACCCAGGCUGAAGUGUAAUGGAACUAUCUCGGCUCACAGCAGCCCCCCAGGUUCAAGAGAUUCUCCCACCUCAGCCUCCCAAGUAGCUGGAAUUACAGGUGCCUGCCACCAUGUCCAGCUAAUUUUUGUAUUUUUAGUAGAGACAGGAUUUCGCCAUGUUGGCCAGGCUGGUCUCGAACUCCUGACCUCAGGUGAUCCACCCGCCUCGGCCUCCCAAAGUGCUGGGAUUACAGGUGCAAGCCACCGUGCCUGGUCUAGGAUCGUGGUUUCGAAAAAAGCAGACUUGGCCAGGCAUGGUGGCUCACACCUGUAAUCCCAGCAUUUUGGGAGGCCAAGGUGGGUGGAUCAUGAGGUCAGGAGAUUGAGACCAUCCUGGCUAACACGGUGAAACCCCAUCUCUACUAAAAAUACAAAAAAUUAGCCGGGUGUGGUGGCGGGCACCUGUAGGCCCAGCUACUCCGGAGGCUGAGGCAGGAGAAUGGUGUAAGUAAACCUGGGAGGCAGAGCUUGCAGUGAGCCAAGAUCGCGCCACUGCACUCCAGCCUGGGCGAGAGAGCAAGACUCUGUCUCAAAAAAAAAAAAAAAAGAAAAAAUCAGACUGGUACACAAGUCUCCAGUUCCCUAUGUCCCCAUCACUCCUCAUCGCAUAGCACUAUGUCAUUGUAGGCCCCUAUGGGCAUUUGAAUGUGUACCCCUUUCUGGCCCAUAUCCUAUAAUGAGCUAACAUUUGCAUAGCAUGGCUUAGGUUUCUAAAUUUGAAACAAGGCACUGGAAAAAACAUGGGCUUUGAAAUCAGACGAAUCUGAGUUCAAAUCUUGAUUCGGCUGUUAUACUAGCUGUAUUACCUUGGGCAAGUUACUCUCCUCUCUGAUUCUCAGUUUCUUUUCUUUUCUUUUUUUAUUUUUUUUUUAGACACAGUCUCGCUCUGUGGCCCAGGCUGGAGUGCAGUCGUGCGAUCUCAGCUCACUGCAGCCUCUGCCUCCCAGGUUCAAGCGAUUCUCCUGCCUCAGCCUCCCCAGUAGCUGGGAUUACAGGGACGUGCCACCAUGCCUGGCUAAUUUUUGUAUUUUUAGUAGAGAUGGGGUUUUACCAUGUUGGCCAGGCUGGUCAAGAACUCCUGAUCUCAGGUUAUCUGCCUGCCUCAGCCUCCCAAAGUGCUGGGAUUACAGGCGUGAGCCACUGCACCUGGCCUGACCCUCAGUUUCUACAUCUGUAAAAUGGGGACGAAAACACACAUUUGCAAGGCCACUGUAUGGUUUAAAAAUAAUAUGUGCAGGCUAGGGGCAGUGGCUCAUGCCUGUAAUCAUGGCACUUUGGGAGACUGAGAUUACAGGAGUGAGCCACAGUGCCCAGGCUUCUUUU